rnacentral:lncRNA from 1 species
CUGGUCCUGAUACCCACCACGAGAGUUCCGGUACUGACCCCGACCAUCAAUCUCUAGACUGGAGGCUGUACAGAAACAUGCCCUGAGUCUCUUCCACAGCUCUUGCCACCCUGUGGCUGGGAGUGGGGGAGUCUGGCUACCCAGGAUCCAGCUACUGUCCACGGUAGAAUGUACUAGCAUUCUUACAUGGAAGGCUGUAUAACACAAGUAGAAGCAAGGUCAAUUCUGCUGGCUAUAAGGUCUAAGGGAAUAGAUUCAUCAUACGCCUUGCUGAAUGACAUUCUCAUCAGCUAUGGGGCUUAUCUGAGGCCCUACCCUUCCUGCUGCCUCUCCGACUGUGAUAAUCAUCACUUGGAGUCCUGCGUUCGCUUCCGGUUGUCUUAAGCCAUUCCCCCUGGAAUGAGUCUGAAGCCAGUCUUCUGUGAGUGAUACCUCGAAAGGCUGAUCCCCAGAGACCAGCAUCUGUGAAAGAGGGCUUAGCCAAGAUGACUUGCCUGAAUCUGUUGCCAACCGGCCUCAUCCUGACCCCUCAGAAUAUUGAUGCCCAAAUAUUGGCCCCACCUUGAAGCAAAGAAUCAACUAUCUGUACCCUUGAACCAGAGUCAUGAACCACAUCGGAGAGGAGAGAUAAAGGCAAAAAGCAUAGCUUCCUAACUGAGGCAGACCUUAUUUGGUCAACAUCAAGUCUUGAGGAUUAGAAGGGGAGUAAGACUAGGGCCAGUCAGAUGGCUCUGUGGGUAAAGGCACUUGCUACCAAGCCUCAGAACCCAUAUGGUGGAAGGGGAGAACUGACUCCUGAAAGUUGUGCUCUGACCUGCAUGAAUGGAGGAGGUGGGAGGGAAGGAGAGAGAGGGAGAGGGAGGGGAAGAGAGGGGGAGGGGGAGGGAGAGGAGAGAGAAUAAAUAAAUGUGGUAUUUUGGGUUUUUUUUUUUU